GACGAACGCUGGCGGCGUGCUUAACACAUGCAAGUCGAGCGGUAAGGCCCUUCGGGUACACGAGCGGCGAACGGGUGAGUAACACGUGGGUAACCUGCCCUCAGCUCUGGGAUAAGCCCGGGAAACUGGGUCUAAUACCGGAUAUCACCUUGGGAGGCAUCUUCCGGGGUUGAAAGUUUUUGGUCGGCUGAGGAUGGGCCCGCGGCCUAUCAGCUUGUUGGUGGGGUAGGUGGCCUACCAAGGCGACGACGGGUAGGCCGGCCUGAGAGGGCGACCGGCCACACUGGGACUGAGACACGGCCCACGACUCCUACGGGAGGGCAGCAGUGGGGAAGUCUUGCGCAAUGGGCGAAAGACCUGACGCAGCGACGCCGCGUGAGGGAUGACGGCCU
rnacentral:rRNA from 1 species